rnacentral:rRNA from 1 species
UACGUAGGGUGCGAGCGUUAAUCGGAAUUACUGGGCGUAAAGAGUGCGUAGGCGGUUCGUUAAGUCAGCUGUGAAAGCCCCGGGCUCAACCUGGGAACUGCAUCUGUGACUGUAUAGCUAGAGUACGGUAGAGGGGGAUGGAAUUCCGCGUGUAGCAGUGAAAUGCGUAGAUAUGCGGAGGAACACCGAUGGCGAAGGCAAUCCCCUGGACCUGUACUGACGCUCAUGCACGAAAGCGUGGGGAGCAAACAGG